UUUUUUGGUUUCCAGUGUCAGUUUUGACGAAAGACAAGUUUCUGAGGGCAUCGAAGAACCAGUCAAGAUCUGUGACCAAGGCUCCUACCAUGAAGGGUUAGUAUAAUUCUGGUCUGUUUUCUUUGUUUCUUCCUAUAUUAAUAACCUACAUAUCAAUAUAUACCUGCAAAUCUAUAAGAUAUAUUGUUUCAAGGGAUCCACAUAACAGAAGAUAGAAGAGGAAUUGGGGGUUAAGAUAAUAAUACCUACUUCAAAAGAUGAUGAUUUUGUUAGAAGCCAUGGAAUAGACAUAAAGGGGCCAACAAAAUGAGAUUGAGAACGUGCAAUGGAGUGGGGUGGUAGGCAUAAUAUAGCUGGAGUGAAACGAAAGAGAGCUUCUGGUUGAUGAUGUCAACUUAAUUGAAUCUGGGCGUGUGACUCUACCGGCUUAUAAUUCUACUUCAGAAGGCUCAACAGGCAAUGCUAGUGAUGAAGGAGCUGGCAAGAAGGGUGGCCAACCUUGGAAUUCGAACAGCGAGUCUAAUAAUGGAUCUAAGGCUUCAAGAUCAGAUCAGGAACGCCGUAAGGGUAUUGCUUGGACAAAAGAUGAA